CUUCUCGCACCGAGGAUCAUUCGUUUUAUGAACGUUCGAUCGGUGCGAGUUGAAAUUAUUUGGGUCUGCUGACCGCAAAUAUGAAAUCUUGUGAUUACUCGACAAAUUAUUGCUGUAAUCAAGUGCGCUCCUAUAGUAUAAUAUACUGUGGGCAAAAGCCUCUGGCAAUGAUCAUUCGUUUCAUUAACGUUUGACCGGAGCUAGUCGCAAAAUAUUGCGCAGUGUACAAAAGCAGCGUGACGCGGUUUACAACCGCUUAGCGCUCUUAUGCAUUGUGUGAGAGCACUGACAUGUAUAUCUGCUCGGUAUCGCCAGAUGCCUGAGCGAAUGACGAAGUUCGUUGUGAAAACGGCGUUCUUUUUGAAUAUUAUACUUUAAACGCAUAGCUCAAUCAAUUCUUUGGGCGCUAGAUGAGAGUCUAGUGUUUUAAAGUCGAUUGUAGUAAACGCUUGCGUUAGUAUUCUAUAUACUCUGCACAUUUUAUUCAAAUUGUGCAAAUUUGAACAUUCAAAUUUGGAAUCAUCGGAAACAUCGGAAUGAGUACACUUUAAAUCCUUCAACGAGGAUCUAUUAGGAAUUCCGAGGUAAUGAUUAAUAGGGACAACUGGGGGCAUUCGUAUUGCGACGUUAGAGGUGAAAUUCUUGGAUCGUCGCAAGACGGACAGAAGCGAAAGCAUUUGCCAAAUGUGUUUUCAUCAAUCAAGAACGAAAGUUAGAGGUUCGAAGGCGAUCAGAUACCGCCCUAGUUCUAACCAUAAACGAUGCCAGCUAGCGAUCCGCCGAAGUUCCUCCGAUGACUCGGCGGGCAGCUUCCGGAAAACCAAAGCUUUUGGGUUCCGGGAGAAGUAUUGUUGCAAAACAGAAACUUAAAGGAAUUGACGGAAGGGCACUACAAGGAGUGGAGCCUGUGGCUUAAUUUGACUCAACACGGGAAACCUCACCAGGUCCAGACACCGGAAGGAUUGACAGAUUGAGAGCUCUUUCUUGAUUCGGUGGGUGGUGGUGCAUGGCCGUUCUUAGUUGGUGGAGUGAUUUGUCUGGUUAAUUCUGAUAACAAGCGAGACUCUAGCCUGCUAAAUAGACGUACUUUCUGGUAUCGCAAAGACCCUCCGCUUCGGCUUCGGUCGUUGUUGGUUGUGGUUCUCACUACCGGCGUACAAAUAUAUCUUCUUAGAGGGACAGGCGGCAUUUAGUCGCACGAAAUUGAGCAAUAACAGGUCUGUGAUGCCCUUAGAUGUUCUGGGCCACACGCGCGCUACACUGAAGAGAUCAGCAGGUUUUCCUUGGCCGAAAGGUCUGGGUAAUCCGUUGAAGCCUCUUCGUGCUAAGGAUUGGGGCUUGCAAUUCUUUCCCAUGAACGAGGAAUUCCUAGUAAGCGCGAGUCAUAAGCUUGCGUUGAUUAUGUCCCUGCCCUUUGUACACACCGCCCGUCGCUACUACCGAUUGAAUUAUUUAGUGAGGUCUUCGGACCGGUGCGCGGCAGCGUUUCGACAUUGCCGAUGUUGCUGGGAAGAUAAUCAAACUUGAUUAUUUAGAGGAAGUAAAAGUCGUAACAAGGUUUCCGUAGGUGAACCUGCGGAAG
rnacentral:rRNA from 1 species